CCCUCGCCCGGAACCGGGAAGGGAGAAGAAGGCGGGCGUGGUUUCGUCCCCCCCCCAGCGGACGGCCGUCGUGGGCCGAGGUGCUUGAGCUCCCCACCCCGACCCUGCCAAGAUCACCAGAAGGGGAAUGGCUGCCCGCCUGCCCUCGCCCGUGUGACAGCUUCCCUUGCACCUCCCGUGAGGGGUUACCUUCCAGAAAGUGGACGCUGCCCAUCUAAUGAGUUGCAGGGAAAGUACAGCCAGAUCCACGGUGACAUUCAAGCUGCAACCCCUUACUUGGGAGUAAGCAAUGGCGGCAUCAAAAAAAGGGGAGGCAUGGAAGAGGCGAAGUAUCUUUCUAGGUUGCUGCUUAUACUCUGCCUAACCCAUCUCUCAGAGCGGUCGGCAGCUGUGGGCCUGCUUGUCUGGUGGACAGUGGAGUGGAAUGGAAUGGAAAUGGGCUGCCUUCACGUCGAUCCUGACUUACGGCGACCCUAUGAAUAGGGUUUUCAUGAAGUUGUACUAUGAAUUGUAUUAUUACACUGGAAGGGAAGAGUGCUAACUGACCUGCCCCAUUCAGAGGCCUGCAUCACCCCGGGGGCCUGGGAGCAUGUCCCAGACAAAUGGCUCCCAUCAGACUGUCGGAAGGCACCUGAACUGUCUCCAGUCGUAGAGUACCUGGUGCAACACUGCACGCUGGAUGCACAUCAAAAUCAGCCCCAGCCUGUGCGCAUUUGCCUUGCAGAGUACCCCCCUCUCCGGCAGCAGUUUGGAGUUGCGCAGAGCCCCCGGUGAAGAUUUUAUUUAUUUAUUUAUUCUUUGAUUUAUAUCCCGCCCUUCCUCCCAGCAGGAGCCCAGGGCAGCAAACACAAGCAGUAAAAACACGUAAAACAUUAUAAAAGCAGACCGUAAAAUACAUUAAAACAAAACAACUUUAAAAUCAUUCUUUAAUAAAGCUUUAAAAACAUCUUAAAUAAAAAGGGUUAAAAAAUAUUGUUUAAGAGGGGGAAAAGGUUUUUUUUAUAUAAAAAAAGCAUAUUAAAAGCAAUUCCAACACAGACACAGACUGCCGUCUCAGAGAGCAAGAGACUUUGGGAUGGCCAAGGGCAUAGAAGCGUAGGAAGCUGCUUUAUACAGAGUCAGACUAUUGCUCUGUCUACCUCAGUAUUGUCUACACUGACUGGCAGCAGCUCUCCAGGGUUUCAGGCAGGGGAUAUUUCCAGCCCUCCCUGGAGAUGCCAUUGGGGACUGAACCUGGGGCCUUCUGCAUGCAAGGCAGAUGCUCUGCCACGGAGCCACGGCCCUUCCCCGUGGUUCCCCUCAAGGGCCAUAGAACUGGGUGAGUUCAGGUCACAGAAAGGGUUGUUGUUGUUAUGUGCCUCCAAGUCAACAACAACUUAUGGUGACCCCAUGAAUCAGUCACCUCCAACAGCACCUGUCCUGAACCACCCUGCUCCGAUCUUGUAAGUUCAGGUCUGUGGCUUCCUUGAUGGAAUCAAUCCAUCUCUUGUUUGGUCUUCCUCUUUUUCUACUCCCUUCUGUUUUUCCCAGCAUUAUUGUCUAUUCUAAUGAAUCAUGAAGUAUCAUGAAUCCCACAGAAAGGGAAGUGUCAGGAAAUAGGAGCAGGGAGAGGGAGAGGAGCAAGGCUUUGGGGGGUUCGGAAGGAGAGAACAAGAAACAUGCAAAUUCCGGGAGCAGACAGGAAACCUGUGAAUGGACUUAAAAUGGAAAUGGACUGCCUUCAAGUUGAUCCUGACUUAUGGCAACCCUCUGAAUAGGGUGUUCAUGGUAAGAGGUAUUCAGAGGGGGUUUCCCAUUGCCUCCUUCUGAGGCUAGUCCUCCCUAUCUGGCUAGUGCCUGCUCAGCUUGCCACAGCUGAACAAGCCAGCCCCUUCCUUGUCUGCAACUGGGCUCCUUGGGACUAUGCAGCUUGCCCACGGCUGCAUCGGUGGCAGGGUACGUAACCCCUGAGCCACUCACUGUGGGGGUGAUCUUGAGCUGGCCCUUGACACCCUUGCUAGGUGAACAUUUCCCUGCUGAGUUGCUCAGUGUCCAGCUGCCUCCUCAGCUCCAGCUCAAGGCUCCGCACUAGGUGCUGGUCAUAGACACCAAAUAGCUUUAAAAGGGGAUUAGGCAAAUUCAUGGAGGACAAGGCUAUCAAUGAGGCAACAAGUCAUGGUGGCUAUAUGCUGUCUCCAGGACCGGAGGCACCAUGCCUGGCUACCACUCGCUGGGGAACAGCAGCAGGAGAAAGCUAGUGCCAUCACGGUCCUGCUUAUUGGCUUCCCAGGGGCAUCUCGGUGGCCACUGUGGGCAUCAGGAUGGUGGACUAGAAAGCGCUUUGUUCUGAUCCAGCUAGGGCUGCUCUUAAGUGCUGGUGAUUAGUUCAGAAGGCUUUAAGAAAGGGUUGGAAAAACCAGACGCAUGGGGGUAGAUCUAUCAGUGGCUCUGCCACAAUAGCAAUAGCCAAAGGCCCUCAAGGUGGCUUACAAAGAAAAAUAAACAGGUAUAAAACAGGUAUUAAAUACAAUAAAAGCAAUACAAUUUACAAAUUAAAUAACAAAUAACAUUAUAAUAACAAAUAACAUCAUUAUCAGCACAUCUUUGAUUGCCCCAGGUUGUGUUGAUGGCCAAACCAAGGGUGGCUAUAUCUGGCUUCAUUUUGCCCAGCUUAUGAGUUUCCUGGGGGCGUCUGAAUGGCCUCGCUGAGAUUCACAGUACUAGACUUGAUGACGCUUUGCUCUGACAUCCAGUAAGGCAAUUCUUUCUUUUCAAAAACUGGCUGGGGCAGGAGGUGAGAGACAGGCAGAAGAAUGGACGAUGACUCAUGUUUCCUCUCUGCAGCCUUGAAAGUGGCAGAGGCAAAGCUAGUUGCCUUGAGUGGGAAGAGCAAAUUGCAAAGAGCAAAAGGGGGCUAAUUUGUCACUGCGAGUCUGCCGCCGGUGCGUGUGUUGCCACACAUGGAGGCCUUGUAGUGGGAUUUAUGAGAAGCAAGUGAGCAAUGGAGCCUUCACAUGACUCCCAAUGUGUUGAUCCACUCACCGCUCUAUGGGGCUCAUGUACUCUGAAGCCUUCUCGGCAGCCCCUCAGACAGGACUGCUGCUAAUUUGGGCAUUAAAUAACAUUAGUGUUCACGAGGAGCUGUUUAAGCGGCCACAUCCCAGCUGCUGCCCUCUUCAGUCCCAUCAGCUUUUAUGCGAUUGCUGCAGCCCAGGCCCUCAUGCAUUUUUAAUGGAAAACACAAUUCGAUCCUGAUCGACAGGCGUGCACAAGUACCAUAUUAAUGGCCAAGGAGGCUAUUACACACUUCCUUUGUCCAGGAUUGUAAUAGACUGGACUAGUUAGCCUGUGAUGCAUUAGGGCUGCUCUUCUGGCCCUUAAACUCACACUCCCAGCUUCUUCCCUUCCUGCCUGCAUUUUGGAGAGGGCUGGCAGUGACAAAUUGCCACUUGUUUCCCUUCAUCCCUCCUUGACAGCCUGCCAGUGGUAAAUCUGGCUCUUCUGCUGAUGUUUCAAGGACUGCUGUGGCACUGGCGUUUUGCCACUCCUGGACGGGCUCUCUUUGCAGACCACUGCACAGCUCCCACACUUUGCUAGCCAGCAGUUCACAGCUGAGGGCUGGUAAACUUUUCCACUGGACAGCCACCGGGAAGUCGUCCUGAACCUAAGGGACCAGCAUCAAAGGGCUGGUGCAGACAGAUGGUUAAACUUGCAAACGGCUGCUACAAAUGUCCAGUGGCAUGAGCAUUUGGAGGCCAAAUCCUGCUCCAAUCUAUGCAGGAAGAGGACUCACUUUUCCCAAAAUAAUUUUUCAAUUAUUGUCUGCUGAUCACUUUGUAGUGUUGAACUGUAUUUAUUCUGGUGUAUAAAUAUAAAUUAUUUUGGUUUUCUCUUCAUUGUUCUGAUAUAAGGAAUAAUCUAUACAUUUUUUAAAUCUCUGUUGCUAUGUCCAAUGUCCAGUUUGUAUCCACUGGCCUGUUUCCCUUGUUUAAAUCAUGGACAAGCAACAAUGGGCAAGGAAUUCAAUUCAGUUUGCAUUCAAAGCCGACAUUUUCAAAUUCAUGCUUUCAUAAGAACAUAAGAAGAGCCUGCUGGAUCAGGCCAGUGUCCCAUCUAGUCCAGCAUCCUGUUCUCACAGUGGCCAACCAGGUGCCUGGGGGAAGCCCACAAGCAGGACCCGAGUGCAAGAACACUCUCCCCUCCUGAGGCUUCCGGCAACUGGUUUUCAGAAGCAUGCUGCCUCUGACUAGGGUGGCAGAGCACAGCCAUCAUGACUAGUAGCCAUUGAUAGCCCUGUCCUCCAUGAAUUUGUCU